rnacentral:rRNA from 1 species
CCUACGGGUGGCAGCAGUGGGGAAUAUUGCACAAUGGGGGAAAGCCUGAUGCAGCGAAGCCGCGUGAGUGAAGAAGGCCUUCGGUAUGUAAAGCUCUAUCAGCAGGGAAGAAAAUGACGGUACCUGUAUACUCAGCCCCGGCUAACUACGUGCCAGCAGCCGCGGUCAUACGUAGGGGGCAAGCGUUAUCCGGAUUUACUGGGUGUAAAGGGAGCGUAGACGGCAGGACAAGUCUGGCGUGAAAUGCCGGGGCUUAACCCCGGAACUGCUUUGGAAACUGUGCAGCUAGAGUGCAGGAGAGGUAAGUAGAAUUCCUGGUGUAGCGGUGAAAUGCGUAGAUAUUAGGAGGAACACCGGUGGCGAAGGCGGCUUACUGGAC